rnacentral:rRNA from 1 species
AUGCUGGCGGCGUGCCUAACACAUGCAAGUCGAGCGGCAGCGAGUUUUACACUGAAUUCUGGAAGCUUCUGGAUAAUAUAGAAGAUUUAUUCAAGAAUUUUGUGUAAAAUGUCGGCGAGCGGCGGACGGCUGAGUAACGCGUAGGAAUUUGCCCCAAAGUGAGGAAUAACUGCCCGAAAGGGUAGCUAAUGCCGCAUACGGUCUUCGGAUUAAAGCCUUCGGGCGCUUUGGGAGAAGCCUGCGUUGGAUUAGGUAGUUGGUAGGGUAAUGGCCUACCAAGCCGACGAUCCAUAGCUGGUCUGAGAGGAUGAUCAGCCAGACUGGAACUGAGACACGGUCCAGACUCCUACGGGAGGCAGCAGUGAGGGAUCUUCCACAAUGGGCGAAAGCCUGAUGGAGCAACGCCGCGUGAAGGAUGAAGGCCUUCGGGUUGUAAACUUCUUUUAUGAGUGAAGAAUAUGACGGUAACUCAUGAAUAAGCACCGGCUAACUACGUGCCAGCAGCCGCGGUCAUACGUAGGGUGCAAGCAUUAUCCGGAGUGACUGGGCGUAGAGAGUUGCGUAGGCGGUUUAAUAAGUGAAUAGUGAAACCUGGUGGCUCAACCAUACAGACUAUUAUUCAAACUGUUAAACUCGAGAAUGGUAGAGGUAACUGGAAUUUCUAGUGUAGGAGUGAAAUCCGUAGAUAUUAGAAGGAACACCGAUGGCGUAGGCAGGUUACUGGGCCAUUUCUGACGCUAAGGCACGAAAGCGUGGGGAGCGAACCGGAUUAGAUACCCGGGUAGUCCACGCCGUAAACGAUGGAUACUAGCUGUUGGAGGUAUCGACCCCUUCAGUAGCGAAGCUAACGCGUUAAGUAUCCCGCCUGUGGAGUACGGCCGCAAGGCUAAAACAUAAAGGAAUUGACGGGGACCCGCA